UGAUAAAGUUUUCUGUCAAAAAUACAUUUUCUGCAACUUAGUACAACGAACUCUGAUUUUAAUAGUUUAUUCAAUGGGUUAACUCUGAUGUCAUUAGAACUAUGUCAAAUUUUAUAUCCUUCGUAUCGCCUGAGUGAAUUUAACAAGUUAUAUAAUAAUUAAUAAAGAUAAAAAUUCAGGAUAAGAUUUAAAAAUAGCCUGUUUGAUACAAAUAAACAUUUUAUGAUCUUUUUUUUUUGUGGAGAAAAUAUAAAGUUACCAGACAAUUAAUCCGCAACUUUAUUAAAUUCUAAUUAUAAUGGCCAACAGAUGCUGCUAACUUUAAUAUUCAGCAUACAAAGGAUUCUGCCAUUUUCCCAAGAUUAUGUUAAUUAUUUGUGGUUUAUAAUCCAUAUAGAUUUUAAAUAUACGACUUGUAUUUUUGUAUGUAUGAACAUGAUUUUUACCGAUGAAGCUUCUUGUACGGAUACUUUUGGAAUGAAUCUUCGUUAGGUAAGUAAGUAUAUUUAAACCCUUUCUAUAACAAGUGGAAGUUAAUAAGAAAAGAAAUUUAAGCAGAAAAAUCACACAAGGAAAUUUAAAUGCGUAAUUUUCCGUUAUUCAUUACCAUAAAAAUAUUUAUUUAGUUUUUUUUAACUCCUCUUUUUUUAGGUAUAAAUUUAUUCUAGAGCCGUGAGGAAGGCCUCAAUUCGCUUGAGUGAUGAUAGGAUUUGCUUGGAUGAAUGUCCGUUGUGCUGUAUAAAACUGUAUCCUAAAUGGGUGCUAGAAGGUAUUACCUGGCUACUAAUAGAAACAGGAGUGUAAGAAUUCGAAAGGGAAAAAAACACUACCAGAUUGUACCUGUCUCUCAUCUGUAAGUCCACUAUCUGGUACCGUUCAUCCCCAUAAAUAAUGUAGGACGCUCGUUAUAUAAAGAGGUGACGCCGUUCUUGUACUCAUUUCUGUGCGAAACAUCAACAUGAUCAACAAUAAAAUGCAGUUCGUAGCGGCAUUUUUGUGCCUGGUCCUUGUAAUAUCGUCCGUCAGUGCCGAUGGUCACCACGGAGGAGUUAGUAUUAAAGUUUAUCGAGGACCUUCUCAAGGACACGGACAUCAUAAAUUUGCCCCUUUCGGAUACUACGUGAAGCUUCCCGCUGACAGCCACCAUCACCAUCAUCACGGUCAUCAUUAAAGAUAAAUCGUUGUACAGAAACAGCCCCCGGCGAGAGUUCGUAGGAAAUUUCCGAAUUUUAUCCUGAGUUUGCUAGACCACGUAUUUUGCGGGAUUGGAAGACGUUGAUCAUUUG